rnacentral:rRNA from 1 species
GUAGUCCACGCCGUAAACGAUGUCUACUAGCCGUUGGAGUCCUUGAGGCUUUAGUGGCGCAGCUAACGCACUAAGUAGACCGCCUGGGGAGUACGGUCGCAAGAUUAAAACUCAAAUGAAUUGACGGGGGCCCGCACAAGCGGUGGAGCAUGUGGUUUAAUUCGACGCAACGCGAAGAACCUUACCAGGUCUUGACAUCUAGAGAAUUUGCCAGAGAUGGCUUAGUGCCUUCGGGAACUCUAAGACAGGUGCUGCAUGGCUGUCGUCAGCUCGUGUCGUGAGAUGUUGGGUUAAGUCCCGUAACGAGCGCAACCCUUGCCCUUAGUUGCCAGCGCGUAAUGGCGGGAACUCUAAGGGGACUGCCGGUGACAAACCGGA